rnacentral:rRNA from 1 species
AUGGACGACCCCAUGCUGUCCCCCGUCACCGUCGAGGUCGUGCAUGCUCCUUCCCCUCGGGCGGAUCUCGUCGCCGCCCAUGUUGCCCCCGUCGCCGUCGCCCAAGCACACGCCGCGCCUUCCCGCAAGCGGCAGGGCAACGUGGUAGUGCAGGGCGGGAAUCCGGCUGCCCCCGCAGCGAUGGCCCGUGCUCUGGGUGCCAACAUCGCAGUGCGAUCCCGGCCGGCGGCGGAGAAGGCCGGCAAGGCCGCGGGCGUAAAGCGGAGGAAGGUUCCGGCUUCAAGCAAGACACCUUCUUCAACCUCUCACUCCAUCCCCCGGCAAGGAGGUGCUCCAGCGAUGCUGUUCAACGGUGCUGCUCCCCCCGCGAGCGAGGUGUUCGACGAAAUGGCCGGAAGAAAUUUGCACAAGCCCGAUGGCGACAAGAAGACUAAAGAGAAGAUGAAGAGAGAGCAAGAAGCAUUGAGCUUUAGGGAGAAGAUUGAUGCCAUGGUGCAAUCAAACGAGUUGAUGUUGUUGAAGUCGUUGGAGAUCAAGAAAGAGUUGGCCGAGAAGAAGGCAAAAGAGAAGCAAGAAAAAUGGCAAAUGCUCAAGGAAGAGGGGCUCCGCAAAGCUGCCAUUGAGGAGAUAAAAGCACGCGCCUUUGAAAACAAAUCGAUGUCAUUGUUGCUCGCCGAAGAGAACAAGAUCAUGUCAAUGAACCGCAAUGACAUGGACGACGUCACCAAAACAUGGCAUGAUAUGGCAAGGAGAGAGAUCUUGAAGAGAAGAAUGGUCGCCUCGGCCUGUCCAUCCAUGGCGCUCUCUACUGUAUUGUUCCACCCCAUCAACCUGAUGGAGCCAUACGCUGCCGGCUCCACCUCCCGACGCUCCGGCUCUCCCGACUGGGUCUUACUCCACAGGUCGGCGCGUUUCUCCGACCUCCAGAACUCAACCACCGUCAAGUCCAAGACGAGGGAUGGCCAGGCCGUCGAGGUGUCCUUCUGGCUCGUCCAUCCGCCGGGUGUCUCCUACUUCUCCGUCCACUGCCCCGGCCUGAAUGAGGAUGACUUCGUCAGCGAGCCCUGCGUCAUCUGCGCGGAGGCGGCCCUCGUUCUCUUCUGCGUAACCCUCAACAUCCCUGGUAAUUUGACGUCCACCCACCACUUUGUCUACAGAGCCGGCCCCGGGGAGCCAGCACUGCACCUGCUUCCGGACCCCAAUCCCAAUGUUGCAGUGUCUGCAGCUGCAGCCCUGAAAUUUGGUCUCUUGCCGUUCCACGACGAGCACUAUGCCGUGGUAUUCCUAAAUCGGCACUUGACCAAAUAUGGGACUUGGCAUUUUGUUGUCGACCUCUUCUCGUCCAAGGAUCAGGCGUGGAGCACUAAGCUGGCCUCUCUGGGGUUAUUAUCGGAUUCUCAGUUAGAGUUUUUGGCCUCCCACGUGUCCUGCAAGCAGAUCGUGGUUGGGAGCAGCUCACUGGUCAAUGAAGGAUACACUGCCCAACGUUUUCGCGAUGUUGCCUGCUGCCAUAAUUUGAUCAAGUUUGUCGACAUAGAAUUUCAUGACCGUGGGUGCAGCAGAGAUAAAGGUUGGAAAGCCUCCACAUGGAACAUGAACAUUUUCUGGAACGAAUGGCGCCCACGCCUCACAGUUGAAGUUGCUGAUAUCUUGGUUCACCCAAGUUAUGAUGCUUUAUUGCCUGAGCUGCGGGACCACGAGACACAAAAACUGGAUCUGAGGAAACUGAUUACACAUACCCCCACCCUGAGCAUGUAUGAUGAUGAUUUUCUCUACAUUACGUGCAAAGUGAAUGAUGAAGACCACAAGGCCUGGGUCAUCGCAGUGGACAUGAAGCUUGAGGCUGUGGUAGCAGUGGCCCCGUUUCCUGCUAAACAAGACAGCCUCAUGCCAGUGUACUAUCCAUGCGCGUUUUCCAAGCACCUCAACAUAACCCCUGGGCUUGAUGUGGCCGAUCCAGUGCGCAAGUAUUUCAAGGGGAUGGAUGCAGCGAAAUGUGCUCUGGAAAUUCUGUGGACUCAAGACUGGCUCAGGGAACUUGAUGAAUGGUUGGAAUUUGAGGGGUCAUGUUACACCGAUUGCAUAUUACUAGACUGUUGCCCAGUAUCAUCUCUACGUUUCAAUAUUCAAUCAGUAGUAGAAUAUGCUUCUUGUAAUGGUCGAGGCAAAGCUGCCUCCGAAGCUGUGAAUGUUUGCUUACGAGCUUUGGAAGAUUUCAAUUUCCAACUGCGCAAGUCACCGAGUGAUCCAGUAUUAUCCGCUGAAGCCUUGAGGAGCAAAAUCAGUACCACCCUUGGAGCUUUAAACACUGUCUUGCAAAUUGCGCCACAUACAAUGAUGGCGAGAAGAAGGAAGCUUCCAGAUGCCUGCCACCAAAGAAAAGGAAAACAAACAAUUGAACAUUGUGAGAGGCCAGGCGAUAACAGUGACUACAGACAUGGCUUUCCUGAUGAUGACCUGCUUGUGUCGACCUCAACAUCCAGAUCCAUGCCGCUCUCUACUGUAUCGUUCAGUCCCAUCAACCUGAUGGAGCCGUAUGCUGCCGGCUCCACCGCCCAACGCUCCGGCUCUCCAAACUGGGUCUUACUCCACUGGUCGGCAUGUAUUUCUGACCUCCAGAACAAAACCACCGUCAAGUCCAAGACGAGGGAUGGCCAGGCUAUUGAGGUGUCCUUCUGGCUCGUCGAGCCGCCGGGUGUCUCCUACUUCUCUGUCCACUGCCCAGGCCUGAAAGAGGAUGACUUUGUGGAAGAACCCUACGUCAUCUGUGCGGAGGCCGCCCUUGUUCUCUUCUGCGUGACCUUCAACAUCCCAGGCGAUUUGACGCAUGAUACCUGCAAGCAGAUCACGAUUGGUAGCUCACUGGGCUGGGUUGAUCUCUUGCGUGGUAUUCUUGUAGUUCACAAAGUGUUUGAUGAAUAUCCUGUGAUCAAAUACAUCCCAUUUCCUGAGUCAAGGCCUUUCUCCCCAGACAAGGAAGAAUCUGACGCUCCUCAAUAUUUUCGAGAUGUGGCCUGCUGCAAUAAUAUGAUCAAGUUUGUCCACAUAGAAUCUCAUGACCCUUGCUGCACUGGAAAUAAAGAUUGGAAAGCCACCACAUGGAAUAGGAAGCUUUCUUGGGGAGAUUGGCGUCAGCGAUUCACAGUUAAAGUUGAUGAUAUCUCCGUCGACCAAAGUUAUUCUGCUUUAUUGCCUGAGCUGUGGGACAGCGAAACAGGAAAGUUAGAUCUGAAGAAACUAAAUUUCUACACCCCCACCCUCAGCAUGUGCGAUGAUGAUUUUCUUUACGUCAUGUCCAAGGUGAAUGAUGAAGACGACAAGGCCUGGGUCAUCACAGUUGAUAUGAAACAUGAGGUUGUGCAAGCAGUGGCCCCAUUUUCUGCUGGAGACAUGGACUUCCUCCCAAUGUACUGUCCAUGCUCUUUCCCCAAGUACCUCAACAUGACCCCAGGGGCAGAGAUAACCAAUCUAGUGCACAAGUACUUUAAGAGGAUGGAGGCGGAGAAAUGUACUGUGGAACUGCUGUGGACUCAAGAUUGGCUCAUGGAACUUGAUCAAUGCUUGGAACUUGAAAGGUCAAUUUACAUGGAUCACAGAUCACUACAAUGGUGUCCAGUGUCGUCUCUACGUUUCAAUAUUCGAGCAGUGGUAGAAUAUGCUUCCUCUAUUGGUCAAGGCAAAGCUGCCUCCAGAGCUGUGGAUGUUUGCUUACGAGCUUUGGAAGAUCUCAACUGCCUACUGCGUAAGCUGCCGAGUGAUGCUUUACUAUCUCCUGAAGCCAUGAGGAACAACAUCACUAACGCCCUUGAAGCUUUAGAGAAGUACUACCAAUUUUGA